rnacentral:rRNA from 1 species
UUAAAUUGAAGAGUUUGAUCAUGGCUCAGAUUGAACGCUGGCGGCAGGCUUAACACAUGCAAGUCGAACGGUAACAUGAGUGCUUGCACUUGAUGACGAGUGGCGGACGGGUGAGUAAGGUAUGGGGAUCUGCCGAAUGGAGGGGGACAACAGUUGGAAACGACUGCUAAUACCGCAUAAAGUUGAGAAACCAAAGCAUGGGACCUACGGGCCAUGCGCCAUUUGAUGAACCCAUAUG